GCAGCAGUAGGGAAUAUUGGUCAAUGGAUGCAAGUCUGAACCAGCCAUGCCGCGUGCAGGAAGAAGGCCCUAUGGGUUGUAAACUGCUUUUGCCAGGGGAUAAAACAGUUCUGCGGAACAAAUUGAAGGUACCUGGUGAAUAAGCCACGGCUAACUACGUGCCAGCAGCCGCGGUAAUACGUAGGUGGCAAGCGUUGUCCGGAUUUAUUGGGUUUAAAGGGUGCGUAGGCGGCCUUAUAAGUCAGUGCUGAAAUAUCCCGGCUUAACCGGGAGGGUGGCAUUGAUACUGUAGGGCUUGAGUAAAGUUGAGGUAGGCGGAAUUGACGGUGUAGCGGUGAAAUGCUUAGAUAUCGUCAAGAACACCGAUAGUGAAGACAGCUUACUAAACUUUAACUGACGCUGAGGCACGAAAGUGUGGGGAUCAAACAGGAUUAGAUAC
rnacentral:rRNA from 1 species